rnacentral:lncRNA from 1 species
ACCGUAGUUCUUCUCCACUGACGUUCGGCCUCAACCUAAAUAUGUUGUUUUUCUCUAUCAUCCACGUUGUCUCCGCUGACCUCCGUGGAACAUGUGUAUAGUCAGUUUUGUCACUUUGUAGGACGCACAAAAUCAGACUGAGGGCCACCGGGUGCCUUUACCUGACUGAGAAUAAUGUGACCAUUAAUACAGGGGACGCACCGCGUGUUUCACACCAUGAAAGAACACCACACCUUUGACGCUCAAACAUUUCUUUCCACCAACAAUGACUCGGCUACGCUGCUUCAUCAUGUCAGAGUGAGGAAGAUGACUCAUCACUUCAUCACUCAGGACGUGACGAGUGCCAACCUCCUCCAAAAGAUGAGCCGCUCAGCACAAACCAUGUGUUGGAGCGUUGUUUCACCACCGCCAGCUCAACAUCUACAUUCUUCUUCUUCUUCUGUGCAAAUAGAAACCGGAAGAAGAGGCUCUCAUCCAUUGGUCAGAGCGAGAGCGUCUAUGAGAUCAGACAAGCAGCAGCAGCCCGUCCAAGGACAGCGGCCUCACCCCCAGCCGCCAGAGUGCCAAGGAGACGCUGCAAGUCGCCCCACCGACUCCCAGGCGCACCGGCCGUACUCCCCAAAUCACUAGGCGCCAGCGCGAUGAGCGCAGGACCAAGAACCCCUCAAGGGCAAGUCUCCGGGCGAAACCCCACAGAGGGAGCCCCCCCACCCCAGCCAUCAUCUGACAGGACCGCACAGCCCCAAAUGGCGCAAGGACGGCCGCC